AGCUGGGGGAAAGCUGAGGCGCGCGCGCUCUACCAGCUCUCUUCCGCCGCGGCCGUGGGAAUGGACACAUCUACCCACGUGCGGAAAGCCAGCAGGUCAUGACAACGAACACCACCACCACCACAACCGCAACAGUGGCACGCUCAGUCUCCUCCUUUAUUGACCCUCAUCACUUCUCCUCUCACAGCCAGCUUACAACGAUGGCCUCGGCCAGUCAAGGGCACUUUGAUGCUUAUGAGGCACUGGAUCUUACAGAAUUUGCCAAAAACCAGCCUUGGUGGCGCAAGCUUUUUGGACAGGAGAGUCGGUCUUCAGGUGAGAAGUACAGUGUGGCAACCCAGCUCCUUAUUGGAGGCGUCACUGGUUGGUGCACUGGCUUCAUAUUCCAGAAAGUUGGAAAGCUGGCUGCCACAGCAGUGGGAGGGGGCUUUUUUCUCCUCCAGCUUGCAAACCAUACUGGUUACAUCAAAGUUGACUGGAGUCGAGUAGAGAAAGACAUGAAAAAAGCUAAGGAGCAGCUGACGAUUCGGAAGAGCGCCCAAAUACCAACUGAAGUCAAGAGCAAAGCUGAGGAGGUGGUGUGCUUUGUAAAGAAGAAUGUUUUAGUAACUGGAGGAUUUUUUGGAGGCUUUCUGCUCGGUAUGGCAUCCUAAGGUGUAUCGCUUCACUUUCACUGUUCACCAGCCUCAACACCCCAUCAUAGGAAAAUCCAGACUCUUCCUCUUCAGGCCCUCCUCUCUGUUUUAAAUCUGAACCGCUUCCAUAGACAUCUUGCCCACGCAAAUUUACACAGGCCCUCCCAUGGGCUUGACAAGCAAAGUGGGAAGCAUGCUGUCCAUCUGGAGGCCAACAAGAAUGGUCCUUUUCCUGUGUGUAAAAUCUGCCCUAAAACAUCUUUAAGAUCUGUCCCUAACAGUUGGCCUGGAAGAGCGACGCACAAUUACCUUACUAUGCUCUUCAUGGAAAGGAACUGAAUAUAUCUGACUUUGAGCACGGGAAGAAAGAAAACACAGUUUUGGGAGUACCAUGCACUAGCCAGCUAUAUUAGGGGGACAGUCUCCUUACAGAAUUUUACAAGUAAAUUGAUUGAUGCUUUUUCCCCCUCUUGACAGCUACUCCAGUAAACUAUCUUAGUUAAGAACUCAGAAGUAUGAUACUUCAAAAAGGGCCAUAACUUAAAUACUAGGACCUAUUUUUUGGGUCCUUUUUUUGGAGGGGGUAUGGUUGGGGUGUGCCUAGGGCUUUGCUCUUACUAGGCAAGGGCUACUCCUGAGCUAUAUUUUCAGCUUUUUGGGCACUUUUUAUUUUGAGAGAAGAUAUUACUAAAUUGCUCUAGCUGGCCUAGUACUUGACAUCCUCAUGUAUCAGUUUCCUGAAGAGGUGGGAUUACAGGCCCAAGCCACCAGGAACAGCUGCCCCAGAACUGAAGAACACACCUCUGAGUCUACUUUGCCCCUUCUCAAUCUUCUCAUUUGCCUUUUCCUCCAGGAAUAGGUUGCAAGAACCUAUCUAGUUUGGUUUCCUGCAUCAGGGCCUCGUCUUCUUCAAUCAAAUGUCGGCUGUGUGAAAUUAUCAUCUAGAAGCUUCAGUGGAGAAGAAUCUGCUUUCGGGCUCUUAGGUUUGGGGUACAAUUUAUAUACUUGCAACUACAAGAUUUAUUCAUAUUUGGUCCUUUGUCAGCAGAGGACAAGCUUAGCUCUGGGAGGCUAUCCACAGUUCUUCACCUCACACUGACUUUGUUCUCUCCACACAAGUCAGAAAACGGAGGACUUCUUUUCUUCAUGGCCAGGUGGAGAGAGAGAGUAUUCCCUGGGAGUCUAACACCUCUGCAGAAAGGGCAAGUGUGUGUGUGAGUGCAAUCAAUGUUUCCAUUCUCUGUUGAUUAGAAAGAAAAAUCAUGGGUCCAGCCCAAACUCAACACUAUGAGCGCUUGAAACAAUGAUCUUAAAGAACAACCUUGGAAACUGUAUGCUACAUGGGAAGAAGAAAUUAACUGUACUUCUCAGCCUUUGAAUAUAGGUUUACACCUUCAUUACCAGGAUUAAAUCUUCUUCAUAUUUCCACCAGUAGGGGAAAAAAGAACCCACAGAAAUUCAAAACAACAAAACCCAUACUAAAACCACAGACUCCAUAGACCUGAGGAACCACUUGUUUAUAAGCCAACUGACUCUUUGCAGUUUGUUUAAAUCAUGUUUAUAUUCUUCCAUUCACUUAAAAUUGUUACUUAAAAAUAACACUCCCUUGCAGAGUAAAUUUGCCAAUUAGUACUUUGUAUUUCAGUUAUUAAACAAAUGGUAAA